AUUAAACGCUGGCGGCAUGCCUUACACAUGCAAGUCGAACGGCAGCACGGGGGCAACCUUGGUGGCGAGUGGCGAACGGGUGAGUAAAGCAUCGGAACGUGCCCUGGAGUGGGGGAUAACGUAGCGAAAGUUACGCUAAUACCGCAUAUUCUGUGAGCAGGAAAGCAGGGGAUCGCAAGACCUUGCGCUCUGGGAGCGGCCGAUGUCGGAUUAGCUAGUUGGUGGGUAAAGGCCUACCAAGGCGACGAUCCGUAGCGGGUCUGAGAGGAUGAUCCGCCACACUGGGACUGAGACACGGCCCAGACUCCUACGGGAGGCAGCAGUGGGGAAUUUUGGACAAUGGGCGAAAGCCUGAUCCAGCCAUGCCGCGUGAGUGAAGAAGGCCUGG
rnacentral:rRNA from 1 species